AAGAAUUUCUCCUAACCUUUUUUGUGUACUCAAACCCUAAUCCUUUAGGUAUAAAUCAUAGAGUGCGUUCUUCACUAUCACAAACACAAACCUUCACCACUCACCACCAUUAUCUUCUCUUCUCCAUUCACCACCACACAAAACCAAUUUACACAUAACAAAAACAAAAAAAAAAGAAACUAAACCAAAAAGAAACAGCAAAGAGACAGAACCAAUAAGCAAAAAUGAGAAGGAAAGAACGAGAAGGAAGAAUCAGAACCGACGAACCUCCGCGCACCGCCAGCUUCCUCCUGAUCGGUCAAUAUUCUUUCUCUCUUACGCGUUGACCUGUUUCUUUUCUUUUAUUUUAUUUUUUGUUUUGCCUUUUUUUUUAUAGUUUAUUUGGUUAUAUCAUUUUAAUGGAUCUGUUAGUUUGUUAUUUUAGUUGAUUAUUUUGAUGUGCAAAAACUCUUAUCUCACUCAAAUAAACACUUAAAUCUUCAUAACAUAAUAAAGAAUAAAUAUUAAGAGUUAAUUGAUCGAAAAAGGAAAAAUUAUAUAAAUAAAGUAAAAUGUUAAAAAUAAAAUAUAAUUUCACCUAAGAUUAUACUAUUAAAUUUUUUUUAAAAAAUACACAUUAAAUUUACAAUGAGCUGCAAUUACAACGAGCACACAAACUAUAAGUUGAUGCUUGACAUUCUAACCUCAAAAUUUGAUUACUAGUACUCUCAUACCUGAAAUUUUGCCCAUUCAUUUUAUUAUUAUGUUGGCAUUUGUCGCAUUUAUUUUCAAAUGUGAGUUUGUCCAUUUGAUAGUGAAUAGAGUCUUAUAAGUGUGAGAUCACGAGUUUGAAUCUCAUUGUUGUCCCUUUGGUGAUUUUUUUAUUACAAUUUUGGCAUUGUUUUUAUGAUUUUUUUUAUUUAUUUAAAUCAUCUUUUUAAGAAGCUUAAUUAGCCCACCUAAAUUGACACAAGAGAGAAUCGAACCUAAAACCUUAAGGAGAAGCACACUCUCAGGUCCCUCCUAGGUCCCAAGCCAAUAUCAUCAUACCAACCCAAGCAGAUUUAUUUAAAUCAUUUGAUAACGAAAAAAUCCAAAAAAGAUGUCAAUUUAUUUUUUAUUUUUUUUUGUUACAAUUUGGUUCUUAUUGUUAAUAACUUUAUUGAAAAAAGCAAAAAAAUAAUGUUAACUGUUUUUUUUCUUCUUUUCUUUGGUUUACUAUUGUUAUAUUUUUAUUACUUUAUUAUUAUUAAGCAAAACAAAAAAAAUCAAAAAGCAAAAAAAUCAAAAAAGGAAACAAGAAAGGCAGUAGCAAUACGCAGAAAAGCUAAAGCACGCUCCUCCUCCCAUGUUUUUUCAACUCCAACUCCCCCUUAAUUCAAGCAUUCAAUUUUUGUUUCUUUCCAAAUUUUGCAUCAAAAUUAAAGAGGUUGUCCCCCUUGCUCUUUUAUCAUUCAAACUCUAGUCCUUUGGGAGGCAGCAAAUUGAGAGAAAGAGGAACAAAAGAAAAAACACGGUAAGCAUUUCACAAAUCCUACAACAACAUUCAAACACCUACAUCAACCUUCCAAAAUCUUUCAAUUAAGCUAAGUACUACUCCACAAACAUUUUAGCUGUCUUUCAACACCUAGCAAGCAGUCACAAAACAAGCAAAAUUAGACGACAUUCUCCACCCAGACCAAGCAAAAAACACAUCAUGCUUGAAAGAAAAGCAAAAACUAAUAAGAGAGGUAAAAAGUCUGCAAACACUACAACUCAUUCUAUACAACUUAGUGAGCAGUACUCCGAGAUUCACAAAAACACUUCAAAUCUAAGAUUAUUGAGAUAUCAUCCAUGUAAUAAGUCAUUUCUUAUUGUGAACACGCAUGAAAGCAUUGGUGUGUUGGUGCCUUUAACUAUAUAAUUAAAGGCACCAACACACCAAUGUUUUCAUUUGUGUUCACAAUAAGAUAUGAGUUAUUACCUAAUUGAUAUAUAUCUCAAUAAUCUCAUAUUUGAAGUAUUUUUUUGUGAGUCUCAGAAUACUGCUCACUAAGUUGUAUAUAAUGAAUUGUAGUCUUUGUAGACUUUUUACCCUUCUGGGUUUUGGCUUUUCUUUCAGGCAUGAUGCGUUUUUUGCUUGGUUUGGGUGGAGAAGGUCGUUUCAUUUUGCUUCUCUGGUGACCGCUUGAUUGGUGUGGAAAGACAGCUGAAAUAUUUGUGGAAUAGUACAUAGCUUAAUUGAAAUGUGUUUGAAUGUUGUCGUUGUGGGAUUUGUGGACUGCUUGCCACAUUUUUUUUCUUUUAUUCAUCUUUUUCUCAAUUUUUUGCCUCCCAAAUGAUUAGAGUUUGAAUGAUAAAAGAGCAUGUUGGACAACCUCUUUAAUUUUGAUGCAGAUUUGGAAAGAAACAAAAAUGGAAUACUUGAAUUAAGGGGGGAUUGGAGUUGAAAAAACAUGGGAGGAGGAGCGCGCCUUAGUUAAUUAUAUCUGUGUAUUGCUACGGCCUUUCUUGUUUCCUUUUUUUGCUUAAUAAUAAUAAUGAAGUAAUAAAAAUAUAAUAAUUAAAAAAUCACAAAAGGGAUUCAAACUCGUGACCUCACACUUGUAACUUCUCUAUGACUCUAUUCACUAUCAAAUGGGCAAACUCACAUAUUUGAAAAUAAACGCGACAAAAACCAAUAUAAUAAUAAAAAGAGUGGCCAAAAUUUGGCGUAUGACAGUAUUAGUGAUCAAAAUUUGAGGCUAGAAUGUCAAGGAACAAUUUAUAGUACAAUGUUUAUUAUUUAAAAAAGAAUAAAUGCUAGAGGAAUUUUAUUAAACAAAAUUAUAGUACAAUGUUUACAGUAUUUGCAAAGAAAUCACCAUGAAAAGGGGCUAGCUCCUAGCAAAAAUAUUUCAUUUUCCACAUCUUUUAUCCAUUGACAAACACGGUUGCAUGUCUUUAUUGCCAAAGCCUGCAUUACUCAAUAAUGUACAAACAUUUGAGAACUAGUCAAACCAGAGUGGCACAAAAUUACAGAAAAUCCUAGUAAUUUGUUUAAAGGAAAACACAAAAUUACAGAAAAUCCUAGUAAUUUUUUCCUAUAAAAAAUAAAGAGAGAAGAAUAACAUUGAUGUGAUUUGAAACAUGCAAAAGAUAGUAAUGAUAGAUUCAAAUUUGUAAUAUUUUGUUUUCUAACAGGUAUUCAUUGACAGUUAAUUAUGGAUUAUGAAUGUUCCGUAUAGGGGAUCAAAGGCAAACUUGUGUAACAGGUAUUCAUUGACAGUUAAAAUAUGAG
rnacentral:lncRNA from 1 species